UACGUAGGGAGCGAGCGUUGUCCGGAAUCAUUGGGCGUAAAGAGCAUGUAGGUGGAUCAAUUAGUCUGCUGUGAAAGUCAAAGGCUCAACCUUUGAAAGCCGGUGGAUACUGUUGAUCUAGAGUACGGAAGAGGCGAGUGGAAUUCCUGGUGUAGCGGUGGAAUGCGCAGAUAUCAGGAGGAACACCAAUAGCGAAGGCAGCUCGCUGGGACGUUACUGACACUGAGAUGCGAAAGCGUGGGGGGCAAACAGG
rnacentral:rRNA from 1 species